CCACUCGUUCAUUCCCAAUCUUGCCCAUGCUCGAACCGCACACACACCUGUCGCUCGGACCCACACGCCUGCCUAUGUUUGUGCUUAAAGCCCAUUUGAAUCCAUUUUACUCGUUAAUCCUGUGGGUCCCAAAUGCAGCCACUAGUCCACUACUUCUUCCUUCUAUUCUUUUUUUUUUUCUUUUAUACAUUGGGUUCCUACUACGUGUC
rnacentral:lncRNA from 1 species